rnacentral:lncRNA from 1 species
UUCUCUCUUGUCUGCAACCAUGUAAGACAUGCCUUUUGCCUUCAACCAUGAUUGUGAGGCCUCCCCAGCCACAUGGAACUGUGAGUCCAUUAAACCUCUUUUUCCUUAUAAAUUGCCCAGUCAGAUGUAAUGUGCUUCAUCUUUGGAAGGCAUUUAGUAUGUGGUCAGCCCUGGAUUAAGUUCAGGACAGAGCGAAGCAAACGGAAAAGGUGCUCAGAGUUGAGGUCCAGACCACAGAGUUGGAACUCUUCCAGUUUCUCCUGCUAAAAGUAAGGUUUGAUUCUGGGACUUGGGAAGAAUGGAGCCCACCUAUGGACCGUCAAAUGUGUCUACCUCUGGAGAGAUGAGUCAGGGAAGAGCUGGCAG